UACGUAGGGGCAAGCGUUGUCCGGAAUCAUUGGGCGUAAAGCGCGUGUAGGCGGCUAGAUAAGUCUGCUCUGAAAGCCCGGGGCUCAACCCCGGGAGGCGGGUGGAUACUGUCUAGCUCGAGUCCGGAAGAGGAGUGUGGAAUUCCUGGUGUAGCGGUGAAAUGCGCAGAUAUCAGGAGGAACACCAAUGGCGAAGGCAGCACUCUGGGACGUGACUGACGCUGAGACGCGAAAGCGUGGGGAGCAAACAGG
rnacentral:rRNA from 1 species